GACGAACGCUGGCGGCGUGCUUAACACAUGCAAGUCGAACGGAAAGGCCCUGCUUUUGUGGGGUGCUCGAGUGGCGAACGGGUGAGUAACACGUGAGUAACCUGCCCUUGACUUUGGGAUAACUUCAGGAAACUGGGGCUAAUACCGGAUAGGAGCUCCUGCUGCAUGGUGGGGGUUGGAAAGUUUCGGCGGUUGGGGAUGGACUCGCGGCUUAUCAGCUUGUUGGUGGGGUAGUGGCUUACCAAGGCUUUGACGGGUAGCCGGCCUGAGAGGGUGACCGGCCACAUUGGGACUGAGAUACGGCCCAGACUCCUACGGGAGGCAGCAGUGGGGAAUAUUGCACAAUGGGCGGAAGCCUGAUGCAACAACGCCGCGUGCGGGAUGACGGCCUUCGGGUUGUAAACCGCUUUCGCCUGUGACGAAGCGUGAGUGACGGUAAUGGGUAAAGAAGCACCGGCUAACUACGUGCCAGCAGCCGCGGUGAUACGUAGGGUGCGAGCGUUGUCCGGAUUUAUUGGGCGUAAAGGGCUCGUAGGUGGUUGAUCGCGUCGGAAGUGUAAUCUUGGGGCUUAACCCUGAGCGUGCUUUCGAUACGGGUUGACUUGAGGAAGGUAGGGGAGAAUGGAAUUCCUGGUGGAGCGGUGGAAUGCGCAGAUAUCAGGAGGAACACCAGUGGCGAAGGCGGUUCUCUGGGCCUUUCCUGACGCUGAGGAGCGAAAGCGUGGGGAGCGAACAGGCUUAGAUACCCUGGUAGUCCACGCUGUAAACGGUGGGUACUAGGUGUGGGGUCCAUUCCACGGGUUCCGUGCCGUAGCUAACGCUUUAAGUACCCCGCCUGGGGAGUACGGCCGCAAGGCUAAAACUCAAAGGAAUUGACGGGGCCCCGCACAAGCGGCGGAGCAUGCGGAUUAAUUCGAUGCAACGCGUAGAACCUUACCUGGGUUUGACAUGGAUCGGGAGCGCUCAGAGAUGGGUGUGCCUCUUUUGGGGUCGGUUCACAGGUGGUGCAUGGCUGUCGUCAGCUCGUGUCGUGAGAUGUUGGGUUAAGUCCCGCAACGAGCGCAACCCUUGUUCACUGUUGCCAGCACGUUAUGGUGGGGACUCAGUGGAGACCGCCGGGGUCAACUCGGAGGAAGGUGGGGAUGACGUCAAGUCAUCAUGCCCCUUAUGUCCAGGGCUUCACGCAUGCUACAAUGGCUGGUACAGAGAGUGGCGAGCCUGUGAGGGUGAGCGAAUCUCGGAAAGCCGGUCUCAGUUCGGAUUGGGGUCUGCAACUCGACCUCAUGAAGUCGGAGUCGCUAGUAAUCGCAGAUCAGCAACGCUGCGGUGAAUACGUUCCCGGGGCU
rnacentral:rRNA from 1 species